rnacentral:rRNA from 1 species
UACGAAGGGGGCUAGCGUUGCUCGGAAUCACUGGGCGUAAAGGUGCGUAGGCGGGUCUUUAAGUCAGAGGUGAAAUCCUGGAGCUCAACUCCAGAACUGCCUUUGAUACUGAGGAUCUUGAGUUCGGGAGAGGUGAGUGGAACUGCGAGUGUAGAGGUGAAAUUCGUAGAUAUUCGCAAGAACACCAGUGGCGAAGGCGGCUCACUGGCCCGAUACUGACGCUGAGGCACGAAAGCGUGGGGAGCAAACAGG